rnacentral:rRNA from 1 species
CCUACGGGGGACAGCAGUGGGGAAUAUUGCGCAAUGGGCGAAAGCCUGACGCAGCGACGCCGCGUGAGGGAUGAAGGUCUGCGGAGCGGAAACCUCUGUCAGCAGGGAAGAACGGUCACGGUGCUAAUCAGCAGUGAAUUGACGGUACCUGCAAAGGAAGCACCGGCUAACUCCGUGCCAGCAGCCGCGGUAAUACGGAGGGUGCGAGCGUUAAUCGGAAUUACUGGGCGUAAAGCGCGCGUAGGCGGUAUGUCAAGUCAAGGGUGAAAUCCCCGCGCUCAACGUGGGAACUGCCUUUGAAACUGGCAAACUGUAGUGUGUGAGAGGCUAGUGGAAUUCCAGUUGUAGGCG